GACGAACGCUGGCGGCGUGCUUAACACAUGCAAGUCGAACGGAAAGGCCUGCUUUCCCUUGUGGUUUGCGGGUACUCGAGUGGCGAACGGGUGAGUAACACGUGAGUGAUCUGCCCCCAACUUGGGUAUAAGCCUGGGAAACUGGGUCUAAUUCCCGAUAGAACUGCAGGGUGGUGCCUGUGGUGGAAAACGAUUUUCUAGUGGUUGGGGAUGAGCUCGCGGCCUAUCAGCUUGUUGGUGGGGUAAUGGCCUACCAAGGCGGCGACGGGGAGCCGGCCGGGGAGGGGGGACGGUCACAUUGGGACUGAGAUACGGCCCAGACGCGUACGGGAGGCAGCAGUGGGGAAUAGGGGGCAAUGGGCGGAAGCCUGAUGCAGCGACGCCGCGUGGGGGAUGACGGCCUUCAGGUUGUAAUCCACUUUGGAGCGCGAGGAAGCCACCUGGAUGGAAGGGUGGUGACGGUAGUGGUAGAAGAAGCACCGGCUAACUACGUG
rnacentral:rRNA from 1 species